rnacentral:misc_RNA from 1 species
GAUGAAGAACGCAGCGAAAUGCGAUAAGUAAUGUGAAUUGCAGAAUUCAGUGAAUCAUCGAAUCUUUGAACGCACAUUGCGCCCCCUGGUAUUCCGGGGGGCAUGCCUGUUCGAGCGUCAUUUCACCACUCAAGCCUCGCUUGGUAUUGGGCAACGCGGUCCGCCGCGUGCCUCAAAUCGACCGGCUGGGUCUUCUGUCCCCUAAGCGUUGUGGAAACUAUUCGCUAAAGGGUGCUCGGGAGGCUACGCCGUAAAACAAACCCAUUUCUAAGGUUGACCUCGGAUCAGGUAGGAAUACCCGCUGAACUUAAGCAUAUCAAUAAGCGGAGGA